UGCGUAGGUGGUUACUUAAGUAGGGUGUUAAAUCCUUGGGCUCAACCCAAGAAUCGCAUUCUAUACUGGGUGACUGGAGUAUGGGAGAGGAGAUUGGAAUUCCUAGUGUAGAGGUGAAAUUCGUAGAUAUUAGGAGGAACACCAGAGGCGAAGGCGAAUCUCUGGCCCAUUACUGACACUGAGGCACGAAAGCGUGGGGAGCAAACA
rnacentral:rRNA from 1 species